ensembl:snRNA Gm23258 U6 spliceosomal RNA
AUACUCAGUGAAACGGCAUGCGUUGUAAAAUUGGAACAAUACAGACGAGAUUAACAUGGCCAUACACAAUGAUGAUUAGCAAAUUUAUGAAGUGUUCCAAAUUUUG